rnacentral:sRNA from 1 species
UCCGUAGGUGAACCUGCGGAAGGAUCAUUAGUGAAUUGAAUAUGUUAGCGGACCUCUUCGGAGUCCCUAGCAUCAAAUCAUAUCCAUAACACCUGUGAACUGUAAGGCUGUCUUGAAAACGAAAGUGAUUAGAGCGCCUGCCCAUUUUAUACAAACAUUAAAGUAACAAACGUAGUCUUAUUAUAAUCUAAUAAAACUUUCAACAACGGAUCUCUUGGCUCUCGCAUCGAUGAAGAACGCAGCGAAAUGCGAUAAGUAAUGUGAAUUGCAGAAUUCAGUGAAUCAUCGAAUCUUUGAACGCACCUUGCGCUCUUUGGUAUUCCGAAGAGCAUGCCUGUUUGAGUGUCAUGAAAAUAUCAACCUUGACUUGGGUUUAGUGCUCUUGUCUUGGCUUGGAUUUGGCUGUUUGCCGCUCGAAAGAGUCGGCUCAGCUUAAAAGUAUUAGCUGGAUCUGUCUUUGAGACUUGGUUUGACUUGGCGUAAUAAGUUAUUUCGCUGAGGACAAUCUUCGGAUUGGCCGAGUUUCUGGGACGUUUGUCCGCUUUCUGAUACAAGUUCUAGCUUGCUAGACAUGACUUUUUUAUUAUCUGGCCUCAAAUCAGGUAGGACUACCCGCUGAACUUAAGCAUAUCAAUAAGCGGAGGAAAAGAAACUAACAAGGAUUCCCCUAGUAACGGCGAGUGAAGCGGGAAGAGCUCAAAUUUGAAAUCUGGUGGCCUCAGGCUAUCCGAGUUGUAAUCUAUAGAAACAUUUUCCGCGUUGGCCCAUGUACAAGUCUCUUGGAAUAGAGCGUCAUAGAGGGUGAGAAUCCCGUCCUUGACAUGGACUACCAGUGCUUUGUGAUAUGUUUUCAACGAGUCGAGUUGUUUGGGAAUGCAGCUCAAAAUGGGUGGUAAAUUCCAUCUAAAGCUAAAUAUUGGCGAGAGACCGAUAGCGAACAAGUACCGUGAGGGAAAGAUGAAAAGCACUUUGGAAAGAGAGUUAAACAGUAUGUGAAAUUGUUGAAAGGGAAACGCUUGAAGU